rnacentral:rRNA from 1 species
AUGCUUGAUCUCAAUGAGUUGCCUCCUGAUCUCAAUGAGCUUCCUCAUGAUAUGGAUGAGCAGCAACCCAGCAUACCGCAAGGAAAUUGGACAGAAAAUGGGCGCUCUGUUUACUACAUAGAGACAAGUCGUGGGCCUAACCCUAUGGGCAAUGACAAUGUGGCAGGGCAGUCAUCAACCUGUGGUGCCCCUGUAGUGGUGUCUUUGCAGUCAGAGAGUCAUACUCUUGAUGACACAGGCACCGCGACAAAUGUUCCUGGUCCAACCAGGACUGAGUUCGGAGCUGGUGCUAUUGACGGUGUUGUGCAAGGAGAAGAAGGAGAAGAUGAGGCUGGUUCUCAGCCAAUGGAACCCUAUGUUGGCAUGAGGUUUGACACCCUUCAAAUUGCUAAGGAUCACUACAACAGCUACGCCCUACGGAUGGGUUUCUCUGUAAAAAUGAACACCUCUAGGCGGACACCCCACACAAAUGUAUUGGUAAAACAGCAGUUUUGCUGCAACAAGUUCAAGAAGCCCAAAGCUGAUGAUGGAGGAGCUGAGGCUCCUCCUGUCCCGGACCCUAUACCAGAUCCAAAACCUAUUGACAGUGAUGAGGAGAUGAAAGAUGAACCUCCAAUAUUUGCUGAAGAGGAGGCUGCUACUAGUAAGAAAAAGAAGAAGCGUAAACGCGAGACAAUAAAGCAGACUCAAUGCAAGGAAAAAAUGUUGGUGAAGCUGAUAGAUGGGCAAUGGCAGGUGACGCACUUUGUUCGUGACCACAAUCAUCCGCUGGUGAACAAACCUUCGUUGUCCAAAUACUUGAGAUCCCACCAAGGCAUCUCUCCUGAUGAAAAGGAGAUUUUGCACAUCUUGUAUAACUGCAACUUGACUACAGGACGUAUGAUGCAUGUAAUGGCAAAGUUCUAUGGAUCUGAGAUGAUGGUGCCUUUCGGACCAAAGGCAAUAACAAAUCUGUGUACAAGUUUCCGUAGAGAUGACACAAAGGAGGGUGACAUGAUUGUGACAAUUGUGCUCUUCAAGGAUAUACAAAAAACAGAUCCAGACUAUUGGGGAACGUAG